rnacentral:rRNA from 1 species
UACGUAGGGUGCAAGCGUUAAUCGGAAUUACUGGGCGUAAAGCGUGCGCAGGCGGCUUUGCAAGACAGAUGUGAAAUCCCCGGGCUCAACCUGGGAACUGCAUUUGUGACUGCAAGGCUAGAGUACGGCAGAGGGGGAUGGAAUUCCGCGUGUAGCAGUGAAAUGCGUGGAUAUGCGGAGGAACACCAAUGGCGAAGGCAAUCCCCUGGGCCUGUACUGACGCUCAUGCACGAAAGCGUGGGGAGCAAACAGG